rnacentral:rRNA from 1 species
AGUGAACGCUGGCGGUAGGCCUAACACAUGCAAGUCGAACGGCAGCACAGUAAGAGCUUGCUCUUACGGGUGGCGAGUGGCGGACGGGUGAGGAAUACAUCGGAAUCUACUUUUUCGUGGGGGAUAACGUAGGGAAACUUACGCUAAUACCGCAUACGACCUACGGGUGAAAGCAGGGGAUCUUCGGACCUUGCGCGAUUGAAUGAGCCGAUGUCGGAUUAGCUAGUUGGCGGGGUAAAGGCCCACCAAGGCGACGAUCCGUAGCUGGUCUGAGAGGAUGAUCAGCCACGCUGGAACUGAGACACGGUCCAGACCCCUAGGGGAGGCAGCGGGGGGGAAUAUUGGACAAGGGGCGCAAGCCUGAUCCAGCCAUACCGGGGGGGUGAAGAAGCCCUUCGGGUGGUAAAGCCCUUUUGUUGGGAAAAAAAAGAAGCAGGUUAAAACCCCGCUGUUCUGACGGUACCAAAAGAAUAAGCACCGGCUAACUUCGU